ACGCACGCUGGCGGCGUGCCUAAUACCUGCAAGUCGAACGCUUCUUUCCUCCCGAGUGCUUGCACUCAAUUGGAAAGAGGAGUGGCGGACGGGUGAGUAACACGUGGGUAACCUACCCAUCAGAGGGGGAUAACACUUGGAAACAGGUGCUAAUACCGCAUAACAGUUUAUGCCGCAUGGCAUAAGAGUGAAAGGCGCUUUCGGGUGUCGCUGAUGGAUGGACCCGCGGUGCAUUAGCUAGUUGGUGAGGUAACGGCUCACCAAGGCCACGAUGCAUAGCCGACCUGAGAGGGUGAUCGGCCACACUGGGACUGAGACACGGCCCAGACUCCUACGGGAGGCAGCAGUAGGGAAUCUUCGGCAAUGGACGAAAGUCUGACCGAGCAACGCCGCGUGAGUGAAGAAGGUUUUCGGAUCGUAAAACUCUGUUGUUAGAGAAGAACAAGGACGUUAGUAACUGAACGUCCCCUGACGGUAUCUAACCAGAAAGCCACGGCUAACUACGUG
rnacentral:rRNA from 1 species